CAAAGAGCAGCACGGCUAGACUCAAGCAGCAAGGAAGUGAACAUGGUGGUUGGGAGGACACGGGCGGUGGCAAUGGCUCGAUCCAACGGUAACGAUUUGUUUAGGGGAUAAAGAUACUCAGAGGCUUGUGUUGCAUAUGGAGAGGGACUUGACCAUGACCCCCACAACUCGGUGUUGUUGUGCAACAGAGCCACUUGCAGGUCCAAACUCGGUCAAUUUGAGAAAGCAAUCGAGGACUGGACUACUGCCCUUAAUGUGCUCCCAUCUUACAGGAAAGCCAGAUUAAGAAGAGUCAAUUGCUAUGCCAAGGUUAUGGCAAGCAAGACAAAGAUCUACAUUGUGCUCGAGCAUGUUGGUGGGGGCGAGCUUUUUGACAAAAUAGCCAAACUAGGAAGACUUAAAGAGGAUGAAGCUAGGAGAUAUUUUCAGCAGCUCAUCAAUGCUGUAGACUACUGCCACAGUAGAGGUGUGUACCAUAGAGACUUAAAGCCCGAGAAUCUGCUUCUAGACUCAUUUGGUGUUCUCAAGGUUUCAGACUUUGGAUUGAGUGCAUUUUCCCAGCAAGUGUGGGUAAGUAUUAUGUGAGUUUGCAACAAUUUCCUCAUCUAAGAACAGAUUUUUAGCAGGUGGGUGUUAAUAAAUUAAACGUUAAAUUUUUAAAAGUGGUUACAGCACUGAGUCAAUUUUGCAGUCUAUUUGGUUUACUAAAAUCACCUAAUCUAGAAGCUACCUUUCUAGCCAGGAGCAGUGCCUUAUUCUGAAAGGAAUUCCUCAGGAAUAAUGUGGCCAUUAGUUUUUCUUCUAUCCUUCAGUGGCUUGUUCAUUUCUUGUUUCUAUUAAUUUGGAAAUGAACUUUUUCUUAUGUUUUGUGUUUUUCCUUUCCCUCUUUUUAUAUUAGUUUCCCCAAAUGAAGG